AAAAUAUAUAAAUCGUGUAAAAUAUACAGAAGGAUGCCCCAUUUUGCUCCAAAUGACAACCUCAAGUAUCUCUUGAACAGUUCAUUUUAGAGAAAAAA